rnacentral:rRNA from 1 species
UACAGAGGUCUCAAGCGUUGUUCGGAUUUACUGGGCGUAAAGCGCGUGUAGGCGGCUUUGCAAGUCGGAUGUGAAAGCCCACGGCUCAACCGUGGAAGUGCAUCCGAAACUGCAUGGCUGGAGUCUCGGAGAGGAAGGUGGAAUGCUUAGAGAUGACAUAGAACAUCGAUUGCGAAGGCAGCAGGCUACGGGAUGAUUGACGCUGAGGCACGAAAGCGUGGGGAUCAAACAGG